rnacentral:tRNA from 1 species
UCCCUGUUGGCUUAGACGAUAAAGAAUCUGCCUGCAAUGCAAGAGACCUGGGUUCGAUCCCUGGGUGGGGAA